GAUGAACGCUGGCGGCGUGCCUAAUACAUGCCAGUCGAGCGAACAGACGAGGAGCUUGCUCCUCUGACGUUAGCGGCGGACGGGUGAGUAACACGUGGAUAACCUACCUAUAAGACUGGGAUAACUUCGGGAAACCGGAUCUAAUACCGGAUAAUAUAUUGAACCGCAUGGUUCAAUAGUGAAAGACGGUUUUGCUGUCACUUAUAGAUGGAUCCGCGCCGCAUUAGCUAGUUGGCAAGGUAACGGCUUACCAAGGCAACGAUGCGUAGCCGACCUGAGAGGGUGAUCGGCCACACUGGAACUGAGACACGGUCCAGACUCCUACGGGAGGCAGCAGUAGGGAAUCUUCCGCAAUGGGCGAAAGCCUGACGGAGCAACGCCGCGUGAGUGAUGAAGGUCUUCGGAUCGUAAAACUCUGUUAUUAGGGAAGAACAAAUGUGUAAGUAACUAUGCACGUCUUGACGGUACCUAAUCAGAAAGCCACGGCUAACUACGUG
rnacentral:rRNA from 1 species